rnacentral:lncRNA from 1 species
UGAAUUUGAAGAGAAACUUCAGGUUUCUGAACCCGAGACCAAAGUAGAGGAAGAGCACAAGAAAAAAGAGGAAGAGGAGAAGAAACCUACUCUCUUUGAGAAACUCCAUCGAUCAGGCAGCAGUUCCAGCUCUGUAAGUUUCUAACUCGAUCCAUGGAUCAAUCUCAUUAUUUAUUUUUUUUGUUGUCUUUUCCGUUAAGUGUUUCUUGAGAUUGACAGAUUUUUUGACGUGUUAAAAAAUGCAGUCUAGUGACGAGGAGGAAGGUGACGACGAAGAGAAAAAGAAGAAGAAGAAGGAAAAGAAGUCAUUGAAAGAGAAGAUGAAGAUAUCAGGAGAGAAAGGAGAGGAGAAGGAACACGAGGAUACUAGUGUUCCCGUUGAGGUAGUCCAUACAGAGACACCCCAUGAACCAGAGGAGAAGAAGGGUUUCCUUGACAAAAUCAAGGAGAAAUUGCCAGGACAUAAGAAAGCUGACGAGGUACCUCCUCCUCCUCCAGCUCCUGAACAUGUUUCCCCUGAAGCUGCAGUUUCCUGUGAAGGAGAUGCCAAGGAGAAGAAAGGGAUACUCGAGAAGAUCAAGGAGAAGUUACCUGGUUACCACCCCAAGACUGAAGAAGAGAAGGAGAAAGAAAAGGAGAGUGCUUCCCAGUAGGGCAGCGGGCAGUAUUAUUGUGUUCUAUAGAACGGUGAUGAUGAUGCUUGAUGUGUGGUUUGUUUGGUUAUGUCCAUCUACUGUUUUUCUUCUUCCUUAGAC